GUCUCAGUAGCAUAGUGGUUAGCGCACAGCCCCGGUUAGAUUGAGACGCGGGUUCGAAUCCCGCCUGAGAUG
rnacentral:tRNA from 1 species